ACCAAAACACGGAUCUGUGUCCAGCUUUCCUGUCCACGAACUCCUUCGGGUUUUUGUGUGAUGGUUGAGAGCUGGGCAAUUCAACGACAUUGGAGCCAUCAUUUUUCGCGUGGAUGGCACUUACGGUUUCCGGUUGACAGAUCUCAGAUUAAAUGUCUGCGCCUUGUGACGCGGGUCUUGAGCUCCCACUGGUGAGCUCGGCUCGAUAGCUUGGUUGCGGACGGCGUCAUAUUCCUAAUCUCUUUGCCGAUUGGCCGUUGGCCGCUGAGGCUAGGGAAUAACCAUGACCAGCCAACAUCU
rfam:Penicillium arizonense strain CBS 141311 PENARI_contig013, whole genome shotgun sequence.